UCCCACAUUUGAAAGUGGUCAUGGGCUGCUAAUGCCCUGGUCAUUGAUAGUGCAGGGAGAGGAAUCGCUGGAAGACAUUGUCCCCAUGUUUGGAGGGUCUACCCAUCCCUUCCAAACCCUGUAGCUUUCCCACA
ensembl:snoRNA SNORA71 Small nucleolar RNA SNORA71